rnacentral:lncRNA from 1 species
UUAUACAUAGAGGAGUAGAGACAGGAGAGAGAGAGGACUGGGAGGCUGGCCUUCAGUAACUCAGGAGAGGCUUACUACAUAGAGUAGAGACAGGAGAGAGAGAGGACUGGGAGCUGGCCUUCAGUAACUCAGGAGAGGCUUACUACAUAGGAGUGAGUAGAGAAGUAGCGACAGGCGAGAGAGAGUACUGGGAGCUGGCCUUCAGUAACUCAUGAGAGUCUUACUACUAGGCGUGAGUAGCGACAGGCGAGCGAGAGGACUGGGAGCUGGCCUUCAGUAACUCAGGAGGAGGCUUCCACAUAGAGUGAGUAGAGGCGGAGAGAGAGAGAACUGGGAGCUGGCCUUAGUAAACU